GGGGCUGUAGUCCAGCCAGGUUAAGACGACGGGCUCCAGACCCGUAAAGAGUGGCUUUUCGCCAUUCUUGGGUAAAGGUCGUCGGUUCGAAUCCGGCCAGCCCCACCA
rnacentral:tRNA from 1 species